CAUGCAGUCGAGCGGGCCCUUCGGGGUCAGCGGCAGACGGGUGAGUAACACGUGGGAACGUACCCUUUGGUUCGGAAUAACGCUGGGAAACUAGCGCUAAUACCGGAUACGCCCUUUUGGGGAAAGGCUUGCUGCCGAAGGAUCGGCCCGCGUCUGAUUAGCUAGUUGGUGGGGUAAURGCCUACCAAGGCGACGAUCAGUAGCUGGUCUGAGAGGAUGAUCAGCCACACUGGGACUGAGACACGGCCCAGACUCCUACGGGAGGCAGCAGUGGGGAAUAUUGGACAAUGGGCGCAAGCCUGAUCCAGCCAUGCCGCGUGAGUGAUGAAGGCCUUAGGGUUGUAAAGCUCUUUUGUCCGGGACGAUAAUGACGGUACCGGAAGAAUAAGCCCCGGCUAACUUCGUGCCAGCAGCCGCGGUAAUACGAAGGGGGCUAGCGUUGCUCGGAAUCACUGGGCGUAAAGGGCGCGUAGGCGGCCAUUCAAGUCGGGGGUGAAAGCCUGUGGCUCAACCACAGAAUUGCCUUCGAUACUGUUUGGCUUGAGUUUGGUAGAGGUU
rnacentral:rRNA from 1 species